rnacentral:rRNA from 1 species
UACAGAGGGGGCAAGCGUUAUUCGGAAUUAUUGGACGUAAAGGGCGCGUAGGCGGCCUGGCAAGUGGAAGGUGAAAUCCCUCGGCUUAACCGAGGAACUGCCCUCCAAACUGCUUGGCUUGAGUCCGGGAGAGGUGAGUGGAAUUCCCAGUGUAGCGGUGAAAUGCGUAGAUAUUGGGAGGAACACCAGUGGCGAAGGCAGCCUCCUGGGCCAAUACUGACACUCAUGCACGAAAGCGUGGGGAGCAAACAGG